UCCAGCUGGUUUGAACAUAAAACAGGUAGAAUAUUUAGGCUGGAUAUGGUCAGUUUGAAUGCUAAAAGGUUAACACAACCAGUCGCUUUAGCAGAGUCCACUCUGUUGUAAGUAUUCUCCAGUGUGAAGAUUACCACCACUCACACCUCUUACUAGUCUCAGAGACCCUAACAAAGGCCAUGGCCACUGCCUUUCUUCCUCUGAUUAAGCCAUAAAAAAAAA